GGUACUGCGGAAGGAUCAUUACCGAGUUUUCGGGCUUCGGCUCGACUCUCCCACCCUUUGUGAACGUACCUCUGUUGCUUUGGCGGCUUCGGCCGCCAAAGGACCUUCAAACUCCAGUCAGUAAACGCAGACGUCUGAUAAACAAGUUAAUAAACUAAAACUUUCAACAACGGAUCUCUUGGUUCUGGCAUCGAUGAAGAACGCAGCGAAAUGCGAUAAGUAAUGUGAAUUGCAGAAUUCAGUGAAUCAUCGAAUCUUUGAACGCACAUUGCGCCCCUUGGUAUUCCGGGGGGCAUGCCUGUUCGAGCGUCAUUACAACCCUCAAGCUCUGCUUGGAAUUGGGCACCGUCCUCACUGCGGACGCGCCUCAAAGACCUCGGCGGUGGCUGUUCAGCCCUCAAGCGUAGUAGAAUACACCUCGCUUUGGAGCGGUUGGCGUCGCCCGCCGGACGAACCUUCUGAACUUUUCUCAAGGUUGACCUCGGAUCAGGUAGGGAUACCCGCUGAACUUAAGCAUAUCAAUAAGGCGGAGGAAA
rnacentral:rRNA from 1 species